rnacentral:rRNA from 1 species
AACACUACACUAGUGGUGCAAUACCCGAGCUUGUACCGGAUCGUCAGACAUAAAUUUGUCACGAUCAAACAAGUCUUAGGACAGGAAAACCCCGAUAUUUCUUUCCGUAGGGAUCUUUUGGGCACUUGUCUGGAAGCAUGGAAUGAAUUACUCACUCGCCUGGAGGACAUUCAACUGUCAGAUGAGUCGGACACUUUUCGAUGGAACUUGCAUCAAAAUGGCAAAUUUUCAGUCAAAUCCACGUAUAUGCAAUGGUUCAUUGUGAUAUUCCAGUAG